GUCACAACAAGGUCAAAUUGUAAUGCACCAAAAAAAAAAUUUAGUUUAUUAAAAUUUUUGGUGUUUUAUUUUAUUUUAAGUGUUAAGUGUGGUGAAUUGUUUUAUUUAAAUGUUGUUUAUUUUAUUUAGUUGUUGUUUGUUUUAUUUAAUUAUUUGUUAUUUUAUUUAAUUGUUAGAAUUGUUUGGUAUAAUCUUUUUUAAUUUAAAUUUGUUAAUUGUUUGUUUGAUUAUUUAUUUUUAAUAUGUGAAUAAUUGUGUAACUUGUUUAUUUUACUAUUUGUGCUACAUUUUAAAUAAGUGUGACAAUUGAUGUGAUUAAAAUAGGUUUUUUUAUUUUAUUUUUAAGUGUGUGCCGAAAUGUGUGUGUGUGUAUGUGAAUGUGUUUUAUUUUUCUUUUAUUAAUUUAUUUAGUUAUUGUUCCCAUUAUAGAAAAAGGAAAGGGUAGUAUGAAUCUAGACCUAAUGUGAGUCUUGAGCAUUUUUCCUUUUAAUUAUGAAAGAAAAGAAAAUAGAAAAGAAAAGAAAUAUAAGUUGUCAUCUUGUAGGAAAAGAUGACAAGGUUGAUUUUUGAUUUGGUUCACAUUAGGAUAAGGGUUUAGGUGAGGUGUAAGAAGAGGAAAUGAUGGGAUUUAGCUUAAAUUAUGGGAUAGGAAUUUGGCUUUUCACACUUGAGUCCUUUUCUUAAGGUUAGGUCACUAGAGGCUAUAAAUAGGAGAGUAUGGAAGCCUUGGCAUUCUUUUGCUUGUGGCUGCCGAAAUUAGAGAGAAGGAGAGCGAGAAAGAGGCGUGAAAGAGAGAGAAAGUGGAGGAGAAAAGAAGAAGAAGAAGGAGGUCCUAGGUAUGGUUUUCUUAUGGUUCCUUGUUAUUUUUCUUUAGAUUAAGGUUUAUCUUCCCCAUCAUCUUAAGUCUUUUUUUCUAUGUUCUUCUUCUUCAUGGGUUUCAAAAAUCCUAGGGUAUUCAAGGGUGAUUAUCACUUGGGUGUUGAUCAAGUUGUGUUCUUGAGUUUACAAUCAAGAGAGGCUCGUUGAGAAGUUGUGGUUUUACUUAGCUUGGACCUGAGGUAGCAAAUAGGUUUCUCUGUGGCACGCGUGGUGAUGUGGGGAGUUCUGUCG